UACGGGGGGGGCAAGCGUUGUUCGGAAUUACUGGGCGUAAAGGGCUCGUAGGCGGCCAAUUCAGUCGGACGUGAAAUCCCUCGGCUUAACCGGGGAACUGCUUCCGAUACUGGAUGGCUUGAGUGUGGGAGAGGGAUGCGGAAUUCCAGGUGUAGCGGUGAAAUGCGUAGAUAUCUGGAGGAACACCGGUGGCGAAGGCGGCAUCCUGGACUACUACUGACGCUGAGGAGCGAAAGCCAGGGGAGCAAACGGG
rnacentral:rRNA from 1 species